UACGUAGGGUGCGAGCGUUAAUCGGAAUUACUGGGCGUAAAGCGCGGGCAGGCGGCUCGAUGCGUCUGAUGUGAAAUCUCCUCGCUCAACGGGGAGAGGCCAUUGGAAACGGUCGAGCUGGAGGGCAGUAGAGGCAGGCGGAAUUCCGGGUGGAGUGGUGAAAUGCGUAGAGAUCCGGAGGAACACCAGAGGCGAAGGCGGCCUGCUGGGCUGCACCUGACGCUGAGACGCGAAAGCGUGGGGAGCAAACAGG
rnacentral:rRNA from 1 species